rnacentral:rRNA from 1 species
AGUGAACGCUGGCGGUAGGCCUAACACAUGCAAGUCGAACGGCAGCGCAGUAAGAGCUUGCUCUUACGGGUGGCGAGUGGCGGACGGGUGAGGAAUACAUCGGAAUCUACUUUUUCGGGGGGGAUAACGUAGGGAAACUUACGCUAAUACCGCAUACGACCUACGGGUGAAAGCAGGGGAUCUUCGGACCUUGCGCGAUUGAAUGAGCCGAUGUCGGAUUAGCUAGUUGGCGGGGUAAAGGCCCACCAAGGCGACGAUCCGUAGCUGGUCUGAGAGGAUGAUCAGCCACACUGGAACUGAGACACGGUCCAGACUCCUACGGGAGGCAGCAGUGGGGAAUAUUGGACAAUGGGCGCAAGCCUGCUCCAGCCAUACCGCGUGGGUGAAGAAGGCCUUCGGGUUGUAAAGCCCUUUUGUUGGGAAAGAAAAGCAGCAGGUUAAUACCCCGCUGUUCUGACGGUACCCAACGAAUAAGCAACGGCUAACUUCGUG